rnacentral:rRNA from 1 species
AGUACUCGAGUGGCGAACGGGUGAGUAACACGUGGGUAAUCUGCCCUGCACUCUGGGAUAAGCCUGGGAAACUGGGUCUAAUACUGGAUAUGACCUUUCUCCUUAUGGGGUUUGGUGGAAAGUUUUUCGGUGUAGGAUGAGCCCGCGGCCUAUCAGCUUGUUGGUGGGGUGAUGGCCUACCAAGGCGACGACGGGUAGCCGGCCUGAGAGGGUGAUCGGCCACAUUGGGACUGAGAUACGGCCCAGACUCC